rnacentral:rRNA from 1 species
UACGGGGGGAGCAAGCGUUGUUCGGAUUUACUGGGCGUAAAGAGCUCGUAGGCGGUCUGUCGCGUCGGCUGUGAAAACUCGGGGCUCAACCCCGAGCCUGCAGUCGAUACGGGCAGACUAGAGUGCUGUAGGGGAGACUGGGAAUUCCUGGUGUAGCGGUGAAAUGCGCAGAAUAUCGAGGAGGAACACCGGUGGCGAAGGCGG